CGUUAUUAGACCUGCCCCUCCGCCUCUCAUCUCUCUCCCCUUCUUUCUCCGUUUGGUUUCAAUUAAUAAAAACGUAUGGUAAAGGCGGUUUUCUUCUCCACGAAGCUACGAACAGAGAGGGUCUUAUUGUUCUCGACGGAACGAAUGUAGCGGAGACCCAUCGCCAUUACAAGGAGCGAUCACCCCAUUUCUCUCUCUCUCUCUCCACCUUUGUCUCCUCUCACCGUCGAUUUCUCUCUCUGUCUCUCCUCCCUUUUUUUCUCUACACAGUUCGCAAAAGCUAUUCUCCUUGGCCAUUUAUCUAACAGUUGGCAUUGUGAGUCCCUUCAACGGUGUUUCGUAGAUUUUGGUAAGAAUAUGGGAGAUGGGAUGUCACUCGAUGUUUUGCCUGCAUCCACGACAACUUGGAAACCAUUGACAAACAUGAUUGCCACCGGACAUGGGCCCUAUCGCGUAAGUGGACAGGGGCAAAGACACAAAGAGCGACCGUUGGGUUCCUUUUGGAAUGUCUAGUAGUGGUUGAUGGCGCAUUGUGGCACGAACUGACGUCUUGAAGCAGUUGAACCAUCCAUUGCUCCUGAAGCUCAAAGGAGUUCUUUUCACCGAUAAGUCUGUUGGGUUCUUCAUGGAUUACUACCCAAUCAAAACCAGAAAGGUAGAAAACUGCCCAUUUAUCAAAAAUUUUGCUCAACAAGAUCUGGGCUUGGAUUAUUUUCAGGCCUCUUCAAAAAGGAGAUUGAAUAUUGAACUAGAAAGGUAGAAAACUGCCCAUUUAUCAAAAGUUCUUUUCACCAAUAAGUCUCUUGAUUCUGUUGCAAAUCAUUUCAAAUGGCUCAACUGUGAUUGAAGAAGGAAACUGCACCAAGAUAGCCGUCAAUUCGAAGGAUUCAUCACCAGAAACGAAUAUUGAGGACGAGGUCGAGGAUGAAAUUUCUUCCAAGCCCGCUGCAGACAGACUUAAUUUGAAUCACUGUAACCAGGGUUCGAACGAUUAAGCUAGACGGAAAGGAAUGGAGGAGGAUCGCAAUCAAACGGAUGACUAGGAAACACCGUGCCAAGAAACCUUCAUGAUCUAUUUCCACCUCUUCAAGUUUGGGGCUUAAACAAGCCUGCUUGUGUUUUUCAUGUUCUGCAUUCUUUGGGUCAUCAACAAAGAGUAGAAAACUAUAAAUGCUUUUUAAUGCUUUUUCUCUCAGAUCUACUUGAUGUUCCCUGUAAAAGAUGAUCCGCCUCGACAUUUGUAAGACACUUCUUUAACGACAUAAGUCACAGAAAGAAUGGAUUUAAGAUUCACCCCUA